rnacentral:rRNA from 1 species
GAUUAAAGAUGGCCUCUACUUGUAAGCUAUCGCUUUGCGAUGGGUCUGCGUCUGAUUAGCUAGUUGGUGGGGUAACGGCCUACCAAGGCGACGAUCAGUAGCCGGUCUGAGAGGAUGAACGGCCACAUUGGAACUGAGACACGGUCCAGACUCCUACGGGAGGCAGCAGUGGGGAAUCUUCCGCAAUGGGCGAAAGCCUGACGGAGCAACGCCGCGUGAGUGAAGAAGGGUUUCGGCUCGUAAAGCUCUGUUGACGGGGACGAACGUGCGAGAUGCGAAUAGUUUCUUGCAAUGACGGUACCCGUCGAGGAAGCCACGGCUAACUACGUGCCAGCAGCCGCGGUAAUACGUAGGUGGCGAGCGUUGUCCGGAAUUAUUGGGCGUAAAGGGAGCGCAGGCGGGAAGGCAAGUCAGUCUUAAAAGUGCGGGGCUCAACCCCGUGAUGGGAUUGAAACUGUCUUUCUUGAGUGCAGGAGAGGAAAGCGGAAUUCCUAGUGUAGCGGUGAAAUGCGUAGAUAUUAGGAGGAACACCAGUGGCGAAGGCGGCUUUCUGGACUGUAACUGACGCUGAGGCUCGAAAGCGUGGGGAGCGAACAGGAUUAGAUACCCUGGUAGUCCACGCCGUAAACGAUGAAUGCUAGGUGUAGGAGGUAUCGACCCCUUCUGUGCCGGAGUUAACGCAAUAAGCAUUCCGCCUGGGGAGUACGGUCGCAAGACUGAAACUCAAAGGAAUUGACGGGGGCCCGCACAAGCGGUGGAGUAUGUGGUUUAAUUCGACGCAACGCGAAGAACCUUACCAGGGCUUGACAUUGA